ACACCAACCAUGAGAAAGCAACUUCUUGUCAGCAGUGGCGCUGUGUGCAGUUAGCCACGGUCAUCAUGGUUUCUCUCCAGAUACAUAUUAAGGGAAACCUUCAAGUUCUGUUCCAUGCAAACUUUUAUUAACAAAGGAGCUCCCUUUUAAAACAUUUUAAGUGUAUGGAUGUUUUGCCUGCAUGUAUGUAUGUGGGUGAGGAAGUCAGAUAUCCUGGGACUGAAGCAACAGACAGUUUGAGCUGCCAUGUGGAUGCUGGGACUCAAAUCCAGGUCUUCUACAAGAGUGACACCUGUUUUUAACUGCUGAUCCAUCUCUCCAGCCGUAAGUAACAUUUUAAAAUAUUUAGGACCAUAGAAUUCUUUUAGUAUGACUAUACACACAUACACACACACAGAGCUAGGGACUGAACCCAGGGCCUUGCGUUGCAAGCACUCUACCCCACAUUAAGCCCCCUUUAUACCUAAUAGAAAUGCUGUUUUGAGCGAGGUUUUUUGUUAUGGUUUUUUUUUCCUUAGUUUUGAGCGAGGUUUUAGUAUGAAUUCUGAGCCACACAGCAGACACACCCUUCUGGGGAUGCUCAGGAUCCUCUCAUGCGCCUCAGCUCUUGGCUGGGGUGGGCAGGCAGCAGAUACAACCCAGCGAUAGAACUUUCUGGGCAGAGGUACAAGGAAGGCUAGACUUCAUUCAGCACCGUCAGGUUUUCUUUUCGUGCCCUAUUUGAGAGCACUCCCUAGUGCACAAUAGACAAGGGCAAAGGGGUCCCGCAAAUUAAGGAUUAAGGUACACAUUCACACCUGCCACGAUGGUCUGUUUCUCUUCGAUACUGUAUCUCAGUUCACCUCUAUCCUGUAGGGAGCAGAGGACAUCCAGAGUGACUGCCCUAUCACGGACCCUUACCUUAGACCCACGAGAAUGGCAGAGUCCCCCUGGGUUGAGCAUGAGUGUUGAUGGUAUGUGUAGAACAUGUGUACCUUAGCUCCCUGAGCCCCAUCCUGAUAUUUACAGCCUGAGGAUUGCUUCCCUACAUAUGGGGACUGCUCUUGAAGAGAUUGGCUAAACCUGUCUCCUUGAUCCAGCAGUAUACCUCGGAUGUUUCCUCCUUUUUUAUCUGUAUACAACAGCACUGCCUCUUUGUGCUUCUCCAUGGAAUAAACUCUGAGUUUCUGGGUGCUGGUUUCUCCAUCAAUGUCCAGUCUACCCAACCCCAGCUUUCCUGUGUGUGUCUGUUUUUCAUUCCCUUUCUGCCCUGGUCAGGUCGGACCCUAGAGCUGUGUGGGCGAAGGGUCUUCCCACUGUAUUAAGAUCAAUUGAUUUUCAUAAACAAAAGGGAUGCUGGUCUGAUCACAGCUGUUAUGUACAUGGGCACAUUCACAGUACAAGGAUGAAAACUCACAGGUUCAGUUUGGAAGUAUUAAGGUUACAGUUACAGGUGAUCAACUUUAACACAGAAACUGCUAGACAGCAGCUUUACAAUGUGUUUGUAUACAUCCAAGUAACCCAAGGAGACGGCACCAGCAAGACAUAACAGUCUGUUACUGUCAAUCAUUUGAAUCUACAGGAGAGAACUGAAGAGGAGAGCUGUCUGUUCCGUUAGGAGGCGGGACAUCCCAGUGACAGACACUACUGAACAGUUGGCACAUCUUUGCUGCCAGCUGAGCCCCUUUGAAACAAUGUUUUAGGCUCUAGGAGUGGUCAACUCUAGACUAGCUUUGUAGUAAGCUCCUUGACUACAUCAUACUACGGAGAACAAUACUACAGGGCAGCAGAAAGCUUGGAUCUGAGGAGCUAGGGCUGUACUAAGUACAGCACUUGGCUAGUGGGCACAAGGCCUAGAUUUCGGCAGCACCGCAAAAAUGGAAAAGUAAAAGUUCAAGGGUACAAAUAGUUUAUACCUGUUUUUACAUUACAUAGAUUUUACAUUACACAAUUCACAAAGCCAUCAUAUAUAUGUGUAUAUGUGUGUAUAUAUAUACACACACACACACAUAUGUAUGUGUGACAUAUAAAUCAUACAUAUAUUUGUGCCAGUUGAAUGGAUGAGUUUACAUUUCUCAAAUGUUAGAAGGUGAGACACUGUUUCCUCCCAUUACAGAGAACACCAGGCAAGUGUCUCCAGAUGCAGAGACAAGUCAGGUUUUUGUCAGACUUCUCAAAUACUAGUACUUUCUACAAACUUCAUUUCAGAAGGCAAAAUUAACAGCAAGGUCCAAUGGUUCAAAUGGCUGAGCUUCUUAAAAUACC
rnacentral:lncRNA from 1 species